GAUGAACGCUGGCGGCGUGCCUAAUACAUGCAAGUCGAGCGAACAGACGAGGAGCUUGCUCCUCUGACGUUAGCGGCGGACGUGUGAGUAACACGUGGAUAACCUACCUAUAAGACUGGGAUAACUACGGGAAACCGGAGCUAAUACCGGAUAAUAUAUUGAACCGCAUGGUUCAAUAGUGAAAGACGGUUUUGCUGUCACUUAUAGAUGGAUCCGCGCCGCAUUAGCUAGUUGGUAAGGUAACGGCUUACCAAGGCAACGAUGCGUAGCCGACCUGAGAGGGUGAUCGGCCACACUGGGACUGAGACACGGUCCAGACUCCUACGGGAGGCAGCAGUAGGGAAUCUUCCGCAAAGGGCGCAAGCCUGACGGAGCAACGCCGCGUGAGUGAUGAAGGUCUUCGGAUCGUAAACCUCUGUUAUUAGGGAAGAACAAAUGUGUAAGUAACUAUGCACGUCUUGACGGUACCUAAUCAGAAAGCCACGGCUAACUACGUG
rnacentral:rRNA from 1 species